rnacentral:rRNA from 1 species
UGGGGAAUAUUGCACAAUGGGCGGAAGCCUGAUGCAGCAACGCCGCGUGCGGGAUGACGGCCUUCGGGUUGUAAACCGCUUUCGCCUGUGACGAAGCGUGAGUGACGGUAAUGGGUAAAGAAGCACCGGCUAACUACGUGCCAGCAGCCGCGGUGAUACGUAGGGUGCGAGCGUUGUCCGGAUUUAUUGGGCGUAAAGGGCUCGUAGGUGGUUGAUCGCGUCGGAAGUGUAAUCUUGGGGCUUAACCCUGAGCGUGCUUUCGAUACGGGUUGACUUGAGGAAGGUAGGGGAGAAUGUAAUUCCUGGUGGAGCGGUGGAAUGCGCAGAUAUCAGGAGGAACACCAGUGGCGAAGGCGGUUCUCUGGGCCUUUCCUGACGCUGAGGAGCGAAAGCGUGGGGAGCGAACA